CCUACGGGAGGCAGCAGUGAGGAAUAUUGGUCAAUGGCCGGAAGGCUGAACCAGCCAUGCCGCGUGAAGGUCAGUGCCCUAUGGGCGUUAAACUUCUUUUGUGCGGGAGCAAUAAUGGUCACGUGUGGCCAGACGAGAGUACCGUACGAAUAAGAAUCGGCUAACUCCGUGCCAGCAGCCGCGGUAAUACGGGGGAUGCAAGCGUUAUCCGGAUUUAUUGGGUUUAAAGGGUGCGUAGGCUGUGAGGUAAGUCAGCGGUGAAAUGCCCCCGCGCAACGGGGUGAAGUGCCAUUGAUACUGCCUGGCUGGAAUGCGGAUGCCGUGGGAGGAAUGUGUGGUGUAGCGGUGAAAUGCAUAGAUAUCACACAGAACACCGAUUGCGAAGGCAUCUCACGAAUCCGCGAUUGACGCUGAUGCACGAAAGCGUGGGUAUCAAACAGGAGUAGAUACCCGGGUAGUC
rnacentral:rRNA from 1 species